rnacentral:misc_RNA from 1 species
AGAGAUGAAGAUUCUGAAGGUGAUAUUGAUGAGGACCCCGAAGUUGAUGAUUUAACUACUCCAUUGAGUGCUAACAGAAGUGCAGAUCAUUCUAUUGAAGCAAACACUUGUUCAGGAAGUGGAAAAGAUAAUUUAUGCAAUGGUAUUCCAUUAAUUGCACAAAAUGAGCUUGUUAAAGAACCUUCAUCUAUCCAUCUGAAUGGUCCAAAGGAUG